rnacentral:lncRNA from 1 species
CUAAAACACAGAGAGAGGGCGCGCGGUUGCAUUCCGCGUCCGCCUCACGUCAGGUUUCCUUCCUUGGAAUUAAUUAAUUUACAAGUCCGCCUCCGUCUCACAGCAGUUAUUCUUCCUUCCUACAAAUUAAUUUACAAGUCCGCCUGCCUUUAUGACAACUUCAACAUUCUCCAUCUUCUCUUUCAAAAUCCACAAAGAAACCACAACGCUUCUCAAAACCCAUAUAUAUUAAAGAGAUAUGAGACAAGUGUUUUAGGUGAAGGCAAGAGUUUUGUUGUUGUUGAUCAAUUAGCAUGGGAGAUUGCAGGCCAUUGGGUUUCUUGCUGGGUUUGCCUUUUGCUUUGGUUGCAUUGGUCUUAUCUGUUGUUGGUGCUGUCAUCUGGGUUCUUGGGUGAGUUCAUUCAUACACAUGCAAUGGCUGUCUUCUUGUUACAUGAAUUAUCUUCUUGUUAAAUCAAUUCCUUAGAUGUAAUGUUCUUUGUUCUUUUUGUUUUGCAGGUCGGUUUUGAGUUGCUUGUGUCCAUGCUGCUGUUGUGUUGGUGGGUUAGCGAAUUUGGCAGUCACUCUUAUCAAGCUUCCUGUAAAAAUAAUUAGAUGGUUCAUCGAUAAGAUCCCUUGUUGAAGAUGUCAGGGUAGGGUUUCGAGGGAAUUUGUACGAUUAUUUGUUCUGAUUUUUCAGAAAAUUCAUGAUUUGUAAUUAGGUAGUAUAUUCGAUUACACCACCAUAUAUUGUUAGAUUGUAUGCUGCAUUUGUUAUUUUUCUUCAUCUGUGUCGAGUUGGUUAAGAGUUUGUGCACCUCCAUGAUGGUGGAUCGUGGG